UGGUAUUGAAGAAGAUCAUUCCCAUACAAAAAGAACUUUAUCCCAAGUUGGGAAGAACCUUAUGUUGAAGGCCUUAUCUGGAAAAGCGUCGAUCAGAAGGGAUAACAAGGACAUGCCUAAUCCUAUGAGUUCAGAUUAAAAAAAAAAGGGUCAAAGUCAAAAUAAAAAAAUGAAAGUGAUAAAAAGAAAAAGGAAAAGGAAAAUAGAUAGGCCAAAGUGAAAAUUCGCAAAGGGCACCUUGAGACCAAAGGGGAUUUGAGUUGAAAACCCGAAAAGGGCGACUCAAAUAUUGAUCAGAAUGGGGCACGAUGUGAUCAGAGCAAUUCGAAUU
rnacentral:lncRNA from 1 species